rnacentral:rRNA from 1 species
GACGUAGGGCGCGAGCGUUGUCCGGAUUUAUUGGGCGUAAAGAGCUCGUAGGCGGCUCAUCGCGUCUGCCGUGAAAACCCGCAGCUCAACUGCGGGCUUGCGGUUGAUACGGGUGGGCUGGAGUUCGGUAGGGGAGACUGGAAUUCCUGGUGUAGCGGUGAAAUGCGCAGAUAUCAGGAGGAACACCGGUGGCGAAGGCGGAUCUCUGGGCCGAUACUGACGCUGAGAAGCGAAAGCAUGGGGAGCGAACAGG